rnacentral:lncRNA from 1 species
AAAAGAAAAAAAAAAGAAAAAAAAAAGAGAAAAAUGCACUUGCCGAGACCUUAGAUUCUAACAAAUAUAAAAUGCUCGGAAGAUUUGAGUAAAAAAAGAGUCAAAAGAGUCAAAUGAGUGAAAUUAACCCCCAGAGUAUAUGUGAUGCACAGGAAAAAAAAAAGAAAAAUCACACAACAGGACUACCGAGUUCAAAACCCUUUGUUAUCCAAUUUUUU